rnacentral:rRNA from 1 species
UACGUAGGGUGCAAGCGUUAAUCGGAAUUACUGGGCGUAAAGCGUGCGCAGGCGGUUUUGUAAGUCUGUCGUGAAAUCCCCGGGCUCAACCUGGGAAUGGCGAUGGAGACUGCAAGGCUAGAAUCUGGCAGAGGGGGGUAGAAUUCCACGUGUGAGCAGUGAAAUGCGUAGAUAUGUGGAGGAACACCGAUGGCGAAGGCAGCCCCCUGGGCUAAGAUUGACGCUCAUGCACGAAAGCGUGGGGAGCAAACAGG